rnacentral:rRNA from 1 species
AUCGAACGCUGGCGGCGGGCCUAACACAUGCAAGUCGAGCGAGUGGCGGACGGGUGAGUAAUGUAUGGGUAACUGCCUGAUGAAGGGGGAUAAAUACUGGGAACGGUAGCUUAUACCGCAUUCCAUCAGAUGAUCCCAUAUGGGAUUAGCUUGUAGGUGUGGUAACGGCGCACCUCGGCGACGAUACCUAGCUGGUCUGAGAGGAUGAUCAGCCACACUGGGACUGAGACACGGCCCAGACUCCCACGGGAGGUACCAGUGGGGAAUAUGGCACAAUGGGCGCAAGCCUGAGGCAGCCAUGCCGCGUGUAUGAAGAAGGCCUUCGGGUUGUAAAGUACUUUCAGUCGGGAGGCGUUACCGACAGAAGAAGCACCGGCUAACUCCGUGCCAGCAGCCGCGGUAAUUC